AGAGGGUGCCGCAAGGAGCCGGAGACAGGUGGUGCAUGGCUGUCGUCAGCUCGUGUCGUGAGAUGUUGGAUUAAGUUCCGCAACGAGCGCAACCCUCGUGGUAUGUUGCCAGCAGUUCGGCUGGGCACUCAUACCAGACUGCCGCAGCAAUGUGGAGGAAGGUGGGGAUGACGUCAAGUCAGCAUGCCCCGUACGCCCUGGGCUACACACAUACUACAAUGCAGAGUGCAGACGGAUGCCAAGCCGUGAGGUGGAGCUAAUCCGCGAAGGCUCUGCUCAGUGCAGAUUGCAGGCUGCAACUCGCCUGCAUGAAGGCGGAAUCGCUAGUAACCGUCGGUCAGCAUUACGACGGUCGAAUACGUUCCCGGGCCUU
rnacentral:rRNA from 1 species